CAGUGCACCCGUCCCUAGGGUAAUGGUCUGGCUCAUUCAGCCAUGCACAGUGACAGGGCAUCUCUAGGGAUGGGGUACCGGGCCUGCCAUUUCAGACAUGCGCAGUGCACCCCUCCCUAGAGGUUGGCAAAUGGCUGCGGACCCGACAGUUAUCAGGCUUCUUGGGAUCCCCUCGAGAAGCCCCCUCGCGAGUGUCUGAAACCGUCAGUUCACCGCCAGAAAUGAAAACAUCCUGUCUCUAGUCACCUGCCAUUUGCCUUUUCAAAUCCUCUGUUCUCUGGGCUGUCACAAAUCCUCCUCUGCACCCCAGGAGCGCCCCUUGGAUCCCCGGGCCGGCUGCAGGGCCCACACCUGGGUCGGGCCUCUCACGGGGACGCUCCCGCCACCGCAAUAAAGAGGAGAAAACGUCCCAGGGGGAAGGGCCUGACCCUGCUCUAUUCAGUCAGAAAACACCCACAGGAAGGGACUUUGGGAGCUACAUCCACGACUUCUCUGACCCAACCCAGGCUUCUUCCUAGGCCUCGGGGUCCUAGUGUGAACCUCCCGGCCGUGAUUAAUCCAGUUUUUCAGAUUAAGUGCUCCAAGACUACUCGCUGUUGAAACUGUCAUAGGCACAGCCUCAGCUCCCAGCAGGGUGGACGCAUAAGAGCAGAAUCUCCGUGGGGCUUCUUUCUGGAGCAUCAAUAUUACUGCAGGAUUUGGAAGAAACAAAUAUAAAUAAUUUCUAAGGGCCACCAGUGUCAGGACAUGAGCAUAAAACAAGACUUGGACCUUCACCGCAUUCUGGGCUCUACAGAAGGGACACUGAGGCUCAGUGAUCUUUUGCCCUGAUUCUCUGUGAUGACCGACAGAAACACUAAGGCCUUGGAAACAAAGAAGGUGCUCCAUCCUUGGGAAGUGAGAAAGAUGAAGAAUGAAGCUGAAGACUCAGAAAAUGGAUGAGCAAAUUGUAGAGCAUUCAUACAACCAAGUACUGUUCAUCAACACAAAGGAACACAGCCUGGAUGAUUCUCAUGAACCUGCUAAAUGAGACAAGCUGAACAUAAAAUAAUACAUAUUGUGUGAUUUCAGACAAAAUGAACCUAUGAUUUAAAAAAAAUGAACAAAGAAAUAAACUCUGAGGGAGAAAAAAAAAUGUCCAGAAAGGAGUAGGAGAGAAUUUUUUAGAGAUGGUGAAAAAUUCUAUUGUUAAAAGUUAUGAAUGUUAUAUUGUGUAUUUGUCUGUCAAACUUGUACAUUUAAGAUUCAUGCCUUUCAAUGUACAUAUGACCUCACAAUGAAAAACAGAACUAAAAAUAAUAAAGUAGGGGUGAGCUAGGUUGAAGUAUAGAUAAAACAAAAUGGCACAUGAUUAGUAGUUGUUGAGGUUGGGUGAUUUUGUAUCUGUUGUACAUGUUUAAAAUUUUCUGUAAUAAAACAUUUUGUAU